GACGAACGCUGGCGGCGUGCCUAAUACAUGCAAGUAGAACGCACGGUUUAUACCGUAGCUUGCUACACCAUAGACUGUGAGUUGCGAACGGGUGAGUAACGCGUAGGUAACCUGCCUGGUAGCGGGGGAUAACUAUUGGAAACGAUAGCUAAUACCGCAUAAUAUUAAUUAUUGCAUGAUAAUUAAUUGAAAGGUGCAAUUGCACCACUACCAGAUGGACCUGCGUUGUAUUAGCUAGUAGGUGAGGUAACGGCUCACCUAGGCGAUGAUACAUAGCCGACCUGAGAGGGUGAUCGGCCACACUGGGACUGAGACACGGCCCAGACUCCUACGGGAGGCAGCAGUAGGGAAUCUUCGGCAAUGGACGAAAGUCUGACCGAGCAACGCCGCGUGAGUGAAGAAGGUUUUCGGAUCGUAAAGCUCUGUUGUAAGAGAAGAACGGGUGUGAGAGUGGAAAGUUCACACUGUGACGGUAUCUUACCAGAAAGGGACGGCUAACUACGUG
rnacentral:rRNA from 1 species